rnacentral:rRNA from 1 species
CCUACGGGAGACAGCAGUGAGGAAUAUUGGUCAAUGGGCGGGAGCCUGAACCAGCCAAGCCGCGUGAGGGAAGAAGGUACAGCGUAUCGUAAAUCUCUUUUGUCAGGGAACAAAGGCGGGGACUAGUCCCCGGAUCAGGGUACCUGAAGAAAAAGCAUCGGCAAACACCGUACCAGCAGCCGCGGUAAUACGGGGGAUGCGGCCGUUAUCCGGAUUUAUUGGGGUAAAGGGGUGCGCAGGCGGCCUGUUAAGUCAGCGGGAAAAGCCCGGGUCUCAACCCCGGCGAGCCGUUGAAACUGGCGGGCUGGAGUUGGAGAGAGGUACGCGGAAUGCGCGGUGUAGCGGUGAAAUGCGUAGAUAUCGCGCAGAACACCGAUUGCGAAGGCAGCGUACCGGCUCCACACUGACGCUGAGGCACGAAAGCGUGGGUAUCGAACAGGAUUAGAUACCCCUGUAGUC